AUAAUACUCCCUCCGUCCCAAAAUUCUUGUCUUAGAUUUGUCAAGAUACGGAUGUAUCUGACACUAAAAUGUAACUAGAUACAUCUGUAUUUGGACAAAUAUAAGACAAACAUUUUGGGACAAAGUAUAAA
rfam:Triticum aestivum genome assembly, contig: Triticum_aestivum_CS42_TGACv1_scaffold_211233_3AS